rnacentral:rRNA from 1 species
GAUGAACGCUAGCGGCAGGCCUAAUACAUGCAAGUCGGACGGGAUUCAGGGGCUUGCUUCUGAUGAGAGUGGCGCACGGGUGCGUAACACGUAUGUAACCUACCUUUAUCAGGGGGAUAGCCUCUCGAAAGAGAGAUUAAGCCCGCAUAAAAUCACAGCACAGCAUUGUGUAAUGAUCAAAUAUUUAUAGGAUAAAGAUGGGCAUGCGGAACAUUAGCUAGAUGGCGGGGUAACGGCCCACCAUGGCGACGAUGUUUAGGGGAUCUGAGAGGAUGGCCCCCCACACUGGUACUGAGACACGGACCAGACUCCUACGGGAGGCAGCAGUAAGGAAUAUUGGUCAAUGGGCGGAAGCCUGAACCAGCCAUGCCGCGUGCAGGAAGACGGCCCUACGGGUUGUAAACUGCUUUUAUACGGGAAUAAACCCAGAUACGUGUAUCUGGCUGAAUGUACUGUAAGAAUAAGGAUCGGCUAACUCCGU